rnacentral:rRNA from 1 species
CGGGGAGUGACGUCAAAUCAUCAUGCCCCUUAUGACCUGGGCUACACACGUGCUACAAUGGUUGGUACAACGAGUUGCGAGUCGGUGACGGCGAGCUAAUCUCUUAAAGCCAAUCUCAGUUCGGAUUGUAGGCUGCAACUCGCCUACAUGAAGUCGGAAUCGCUAGUAAUCGCGGAUCAGCACGCCGCGGUGAAUACGUUCCCGGGCCUU